rnacentral:rRNA from 1 species
ACGGAGGGAGCUAGCGUUGUUCGGAAUUACUGGGCGUAAAGCGUACGUAGGCGCCCUAUCAAGUCAGAGGUGAAAGCCCAGGGCUCAACCCUGGAAUUGCCUUUGAAACUAGUAGGGUUGAAGAUGGGAGAGGUGAGUGGAAUUCCGAGUGUAGAGGUGAAAUUCGUAGAUAUUCGGAAGAACACCAGUGGCGAAGGCGGCUCACUGGACCAUUCUUGACGCUGAGGUACGAAAGCGUGGGGAGCAAACAGG